rnacentral:tRNA from 1 species
GAAGAAAUGACUGAGUGGUUAAAAGUGUUAGAUUGUAAAUCUAUUGGAUUUAUUCCGUCGUAAGUUCAAAUCUUACUUUCUUCA